CCUACGGGAAGCAGCAGUGGGGAAUAUUGGACAAUGGGCGAAAGCCUGAUCCAGCAAUGCCGCGUGAGUGAUGAAGGCCUUAGGGUUGUAAAGCUCUUUUACCAGGGAUGAUAAUGACAGUACCUGGAGAAUAAGCUCCGGCUAACUCCGUGCCAGCAGCCGCGGUAAUACGGAGGGAGCUAGCGUUGUUCGGAAUUACUGGGCGUAAAGCGUGCGUAGGCGGUGAUUCAAGUCAGAGGUGAAAGCCUGGAGCUCAACUCCAGAACGGCCUUUGAAACUAGAUCGCUAGAAUUAUGGAGAGGUAAGUGGAAUUCCGAGUGUAGAGGUGAAAUUCGUAGAUAUUCGGAAGAACACCAGUGGCGAAGGCGACUUACUGGACAUAUAUUGACGCUGAGGUACGAAAGCGUGGGGAGCAAACAGGAUUAGAUACCCUGGUAGUCCACGCCGUAAACGAUGAUAACUAGCUGUUCGGGCUCUCAGAGCUUGAGUUGGCGCAGCUAACGCAUUAAGUUAUCCGCCCGGGGAGUACGGUCGCAAGNUUAAAACUUAAAGGAAUUGACGG
rnacentral:rRNA from 1 species